CUACGGGAGGCAGCAGUGGGGAAUUUUGGACAAUGGGGGCAACCCUGAUCCAGCCAUGCCGCGUGAGUGAAGAAGGCCUUCGGGUUGUAAAGCUCUUUCGGCCGGGAAGAAAUCGCGUUGGCUAAUACCCAGCGUGGAUGACGGUACCGGAAUAAGAAGCACCGGCUAACUACGUGCCAGCAGCCGCGGUAAUACGUAGGGUGCGAGCGUUAAUCGGAAUUACUGGGCGUAAAGCGUGCGCAGGCGGUUUUUUAAGAUAGGCGUGAAAUCCCCGGGCUCAACCUGGGAACUGCGCUUAUGACUGGAAGACUAGAGUAUGGCAGAGGGGGGUGGAAUUCCACGUGUAGCAGUGAAAUGCGUAGAGAUGUGGAGGAACACCGAUGGCGAAGGCAGCCCCCUGGGCCAAUACUGACGCUCAUGCACGAAAGCGUGGGGAGCAAACAGGAUUAGAUACCCCGGUAGUCGC
rnacentral:rRNA from 1 species